AACGCGAAGAACCUUACCCAGGCUUGAACAGCGAGUGACCACUCACGAAAGUGAGCUUCCGCAAGGACACUCGUAGAGGUGCUGCAUGGCUGUCGUCAGCUCGUGUCGUGAGAUGUUGGGUUAAGUCCCGCAACGAGCGCAACCCUUGUCUGCUGUUGCCAUCACGUUAUGGUGGGCACUCUGCAGAGACUGCCGGUGAUAAACCGGAGGAAGGUGGGGAUGACGUCAAGUCAGCAUGGCCUUUAUGUCUGGGGCUACACACGUGCUACAAUGGCCGAUACAAACCGUCGCGAGCCCGCAAGGGGGAGCUAAUCGGAGAAAGUCGGUCUCAGUUCGGAUUGUCGGCUGCAACUCGCCGGCAUGAAGUUGGAAUCGCUAGUAAUCGCGGAUCAGCACGCCGCGGUGAAUACGUUCCCGGGCCUUGUACACACCGGUAUCUC
rnacentral:rRNA from 1 species